AGUGAACGCUGGCGGUAGGCCUAACACAUGCAAGUCGAACGGCAGCACAGUAAGAGCUUGCUCUUACGGGUGGCGAGUGGCGGACGGGUGAGGAAUACAUCGGAAUCUACUUUUUCGUGGGGGAUAACGUAGGGAAACUUACGCUAAUACCGCAUACGACCUACGGGUGAAAGCAGGGGAUCUUCGGACCUUGCGCGAUUGAAUGAGCCGAUGUCGGAUUAGCUAGUUGGCGUGGUAAAGGCCCACCAAGGCGACGAUCCGUAGCUGGUCUGAGAGGAUGAUCAGCCACACUGGAACUGAGACACGGUCCAGACUCCUACGGGAGGCAGCAGUGGGGAAUAUUGGACAAUGGGCGAAAGCCUGAUCCAGCCAUACCGCGUGGGUGAAGAAGGCCCUCGGGUUGUAAAGCCCUUUUGUUGGGAAAGAAAAGCAGCAGGUUAAUACCCCGCUGUUCUGACGGUACCCAAAGAAUAAGCACCGGCUAACUUCGUG
rnacentral:rRNA from 1 species